rnacentral:rRNA from 1 species
GAUUAAGCGAAGAAGAGCGUAUGGUGGAUGCCUUGGCACUAGGCGCCGAUGAAGGACGUGACAAGCUGCGAAAAGCUGCGGGGAAGUGCAAAUAACUUUUGAUCCGCAGAUAUCCGAAUGAGGAAACUCGUGUUUGCGAUGAGCAGGCACAUUCAUACAAUGUAUGGAGGGGAACCUGGGGAACUGAAACAUCUUAGUACCCAGAGGAAAAGAAAGAAAACAAUCGAUUUCCUGAGUAGUGGUGAGCGAAAGGGAAAGAGCCCAAACCGUGAUAUGGAGACAUAAUGCGGGGUUAGGACCUUAAUAAAUUCAAGACGUGUAUAGUUGAGCGGUUCUGGAAAGGCCGACCGAAGAGAGUUAAAGUCUCGUAGGCGAAAUACGUGAAAUGAAUGAGGUAUCCAGAGUACCACAGGACACGAGAAAUCUGGUGGGAAUGCGGGAGGACCAUCUCCUAAGGCUAAAUACGACCUAGUGACCGAUAGAGUAUAGUACCGUGAGGGAAAGGUGAAAAGAACCCCGGGAGGGGAGUGAAAUAGAACCUGAAACCAUAUGCUUACAAGCAGACAUAGCACUACUGAAUAGUGUGGUGUCGUACUUUUUGUAGAACGGGCCGGCGAGUUACGUUGCGUAGCGAGGUUAAGGUAUAGAGUACUGGAGCCGAAGCGAAAGC